rnacentral:rRNA from 1 species
UACGUAGGGUGCAAGCGUUGUCCGGAAUUAUUGGGCGUAAAGAGCUCGUAGGCGGUCUGUCGCGUCGGCUGUGAAAUCCCGGAGCUCAACUCCGGGUCUGCAGUCGAUACGGGCAAACUGGAGUACUGCAGGGGAGACUGGAAUUCCUGGUGUAGCGGUGAAAUGCGCAGAUAUCAGGAGGAACACCGAUGGCGAAGGCAGGUCUCUGGGCCGAUACUGACGCUGAGGAGCGAAAGCGUGGGGAGCGAACAGG